rnacentral:rRNA from 1 species
GACGAACGCUGGCGGCGUGCUUAACACAUGCAAGUCGAACGGAAAGGCCCUGCUUUUGUGGGGUGCUCGAGUGGCGAACGGGUGAGUAACACGUGAGUAACCUGCCCUUGACUUUGGGAUAACUUCAGGAAACUGGGGCUAAUACCGGAUAGGAGCUCCCGCUGCAUGGUGGGGGUUGGAAAGUUUCGGCGGUUGGGGAUGGGCUCGCGGCUUAUCAGCUUGUUGGUGGGGUAGUGGCUUACCAAGGCUUUGACGGGUAGCCGGCCUGAGAGGGUGACCGGCCACAUUGGGACUGAGAUACGGACCAGACUCCUACGGGAGGCAGCAGUGGGGAAUAUUGCACAAUGGGCGGAAGCCUGAUGCAGCAACGCCGCGUGCGGGAUGACGGCCUUCGGGUUGUAAACCGCUUUCGCCUGUGACGAAGCGUGAGUGACGGUAAUGGGUAAAGAAGCACCGGCUAACUACGUG